rnacentral:rRNA from 1 species
GGACUACCGGGGUUUCUAAUCCCGUUUGCUCCCCUGGCCUUCGUGCCUCAGUGUCAGUAACUGUCCAGGAACUCGCCUUCGCCACUGGUCUUCCUUACGAUAUCUACGCAUUUCACUGCUACACCGUAAAUUCCAGUUCCCUCUCCAGUACUCUAGCAAAGCAGUAUCCAGUGCAGUUCCGGAGUUGAGCUCCGGGAUUUCACACCAGACUUACCUCGCCACCUACGCACCCUUUACGCCCAAUGAAUCCGAACAACGCUUGAGACCUCUGUAUUACCGCGGCUGCUGGCAC